GAUGAACGCUGGCGGCGUGCUUAACACAUGCAAGUCGAACGAAGCACUUUAUUUGAUUUCCUUCGGGACUGAUUAUUUUGUGACUGAGUGGCGGACGGGUGAGUAACGCGUGGGUAACCUGCCUUGUACAGGGGGAUAACAGUUGGAAACGGCUGCUAAUACCGCAUAAGCGCACGGCAUCGCAUGAUGCAGUGUGAAAAACUCCGGUGGUAUAAGAUGGACCCGCGUUGGAUUAGCUAGUUGGUGAGGUAACGGCCCACCAAGGCGACGAUCCAUAGCCGACCUGAGAGGGUGACCGGCCACAGUGGGACUGAGACACGGCCCAAACUCCUACGGGAGGCAGCAGUGGGGAAUAUUGCACAAUGGGCGAAAGACUGAUGCAGCGACGCCGCGUGAGCGAAGAAGUAUUUCGGUAUGUAAAGCUCUAUCAGCAGGGAAGAUAAUGACGGUACCUGACGAAGAAGCACCGGCUAAAUACGUG
rnacentral:rRNA from 1 species